UGCGUAGGCGGUUUAUUAAGUUGGAAGUGUAAUCCCGGGGCUCAACUCCGGUGCUACUUCCAAAACUGAUGAACUUUGAGUGUGGGAGAGGUAAGUGGAAUUCCUAGUGUAGCGGUGGAAUGCGUAGAUAUUAGGAGGAACACCAGUGGCGAAGGCGACUUACUGGACCAUAACUGACGCUGAGGCACGAAAGCGUGGGGAGCAAACAGGAUUAGAUACCCUGGUAGUCCACGCCUUAAACGAUGGAUACUAGGUGUAGGGGGUAUCGACUCCCCCUGUGCCGACGUUAACACAAUAAGUAUCCCGCCUGGGGAGUACGGCCGCAAGGUUGAA
rnacentral:rRNA from 1 species